UUGAACGCUGGCGGUAUGCUUUACACAUGCAAGUCGAACGGGCUAGGGGGCUUGCUCCCGAGUUAGUGGCGAACGGGUGAGUAACAUAUCGGAACAUGUCCGGAAGUGGGGGAUAACGUACCGAAAGGUACGCUAAUACCGCAUAUGCCCUGAGGGGGAAAGGGGGGGGAUCGCAAGACCUCUCGCUUUCGGAGUGGCCGAUAUCGGAUUAGCUAGAUGGUGAGGUAAAGGCUCACCAUGGCGACGAUCCGUAGCUGGUGUGAGAGGACGACCAGCCACACUGGAACUGAGACACGGUCCAGACUCCUACGGGAGGCAGCAGUGGGGAAUUUUGGACAAUGGGCGAAAGCCUGAUCCAGCCAUACCGCGUGAGUGAAGAAGGCCUUCGGGUUGUAAAGCUCUUUCAGCCGGAAAGAAAAGGACUUGGAUAACACCUGAGUCUGAUGACGGUACCGGAAGAAGAAGCACCGGCUAACUACGUGCCAGCAGCCGCGGUAAUACGUAGGGUGCGAGCGUUAAUCGGAAUUACUGGGCGUAAAGCGUGCGCAGGCGGCUUUUUAAGCCAGAUGUGAAAUCCCCGGGCUUAACCUGGGAACUGCAUUUGGAACUGGAAGACUAGAGUAUAGCAGAGGGAGGUAGAAUUCCACGUGUAGCAGUGAAAUGCGUAGAUAUGUGGAGGAAUACCGAUGGCGAAGGCAGCCUCCUGGGUUAAUACUGACGCUCAUGCAAGAAAGCGUGGGGAGCAAACAGGAUUAGAUACCCUGGUAGUCCACCCCCUAAACGAUGUCAACUAGGUGGUGGGGGAGGAGACUUCCUUAGUACCGUAGCUAACGCGUGAAGUGACC
rnacentral:rRNA from 1 species